rnacentral:rRNA from 1 species
UGAGGAAUAUUGGACAAUGGAUGGAAAUCUGAUCCAGCCAUGCCGCGUGAAGGACGACGGUCCUAUGGAUUGUAAACUUCUUUUGUAUGGGAGCAAUAAGGUCUACGUGUAGAUCGAUGAGAGUACCAUACGAAUAAGCAUCGGCUAACUCCGUGCCAGCAGCCGCGGUAAUACGGAGGAUGCGAGCGUUAUCCGGAUUUAUUGGGUUUAAAGGGUGCGUAGGCGGUUGUAUAAGUCAGCGGUGAAAUUUUCCGGCUUAACCGGGAGACUGCCGUUGAUACUGUAUAGCUUGAAUACGGUUGCUGUGAGUGGAAUGUGUGGUGUAGCGGUGAAAUGCAUAGAUAUCACACAGAAUAUCGAUUGCGAAGGCAGCUCACAAAGCCGUUAUUGACGCUGAUGCACGAAAGUGUGGGGAUCAAACAGG